UCUCUUUUCACUGCUGAGGCUUUUAAGUUUGACGAUAACAUUUCUGGAUGAAUAAAUCUGGGGCUUCUCUUUGAAGAUAUCGGAUCUUCUUUUUUGUACCAAUCUCUGGCAAAGCUCUGUGGCUGGCCACAAAGGCUUCUGGGACUUAGAGAGGAAACUGACAUGAGAUGUACCCUCAAAUGUAGGGGAGGUGGAGAUUUUUCAGUCAUGUGGCAUUCUCAAGAAGAAUAAGGAGAGAAAAAGGGAGAUGCGACAGUCAUCUCAGGAGACUGGAGUGACCACAUCUGCAAUUCCCUUUGCUUGCAAGAGCCCCACUAUGUCCAACCUGAGGAGAGUAAGAGAAAAACCAAUGAAUCUCAAUGUCAUCAAGUGGUUGUCCAUAUAAGGGGCUUUUCUGAUCUCCACUGGAUGCAUCACUCCAUUAGUUUCAUGGUUUCUAGUAUUCCUUGCUACCAACUCUUGAGUUUCAUAUCUUCAGGUCCAAUUGCCAGCUAUCUCAUCUUCUUCCGGCUGUGGAACGCUGCCUAGAAAUCUACUGUCUUCUAAAGAAUAUAGGUGGAGUGCAAUAUUGAGAUGAAUAUGUCUUCGAGGCAAUCACAUGAAUUCAAGAGUUGGAGAUCUAACCAGUCCAUUGGUUGGAGCUGACUGGUGGUAAGGUGAGUUUCUGCAUCAGAAAAGAUAAACACUAACAUGAAACUGGGUCCAAGCCCUGGUCUGGCUUGCCAGAAGAUGUAG